CACAGAUACAGUUCAAUUGCCAUGGAGCCAAAGUCUUUCCCAUAGUCUUUCAUUAUACCAAUGGGCUCCAUGGCAUAGCUAUCUGGGGUAUCACCGCUCAAACAGGGCAAGCACCGAAUGACCCGGCUUUCGUGUCUUUGCAGGAGAAAAUCAAGUGUUUCAACAUGGGGCCAUAGUCUAAAGGCAGCAGGCGGGCAACCAGGCUCCUCCAAUGCACAGUGGCGAGAUUGGUCUCG